rnacentral:sRNA from 1 species
CCCUUUACUGCCUCCCCUGGUCUCUAGAAUCCCGCUGCUCUAAAUUCGCCUGUCUUUGCUUUAGAAUUCACUCCUCAGCCCAUACUUGGUGCUACAGCAUUCCUUUGAAUGGGGUCAGAAUGAAUGGGUUCUCAUGUCUAGUAAACGCAAUGACAAAGUACUUAGCUGAAUUUGUUUUCAAAUCAAUAGAUACUUUUUUCUAGAGGUUGGAAUACUCUAACACUUAUUUAGAUAUCACAUACUAAAAGCUCAUCCAUCGCUUACUAAAAAUUCAAGUGGAGCUGGGGCACCCCAUGUAGAACACAUUGAGCUGCCUUAAAGUUAAAAAAGGCCCCACCGUGUUGCUGCAGCACUCAAGCCUGGAGUUAUCUGACUCCUCUGUCCCUCCUCCCCAGACCCUUCCAUCUAGAGAGCUCUGAUAGGAACCGGGCUAUUCUGGGAAAUUGCAAGGACCUGGUGACAUGGAAGAGAGGCGAGGGCACCAGUGACCUCAGAAUGGGUAGGCUGGUGGGAGUGUGGAAGGCAGGCCACAGGCUUUGCAUAGGGGACCGUCGAAUGGUCUCGUUACCCAGAGCCGGACCCAAUAUGGAUGGGGAGUAGGUCUCUCUCUCUCUGAAUUUCCCCCUGUCACUGCUCAGCGCCAGCGGUUUGAUGGACAGCCUCAGGGUCUUUAUCUCUUGCUGUACUGCCUCUCUUCCAGGAGUUCAUUUGGUGAUGUCGACUCCCCUGAUAAGGUGUGUGUGGAAUAUGUUUCUGCUGUCACCGUAGCCUCCAUCUGUUCCUGAUUCACAGCACUCUCAGGAAGGGGACCUUUUUCUCUGAGGAAAAUGUAAUGUGGCCCUUACCAGAGUCUGAGUUGAUGGUGGACGAUCCAACGAUCUUGGAAGCUCUGCCUUUUGAGAGUCUUAUAAGCCAUCUCAGAGGCAAGCCUCCACUUUUACACUUGCCAAUAGAUGCCGCACAUGUAUGCUCACUGGAUAUUUUUGUGUCAAAGACUGUGGUCUACUCCCUAACCAUUUUUUUUCUUUUCAACAUUACUAUUUUGUUUAGGAAAACAAUUCUUUAUUUGGACAAACAGUCUAGACUGAAGUAAAAAAAAAACCCGUACCAUCUCAUGA